rnacentral:rRNA from 1 species
AUUGAACGCUGGCGGCAGGCCUAACACAUGCAAGUCGAGCGGAGCGGCGGACGGGUGAGUAAUGGCUAGGAAUCUGCCUGGUAGUGGGGGAUAACGUCCGGAAACGGGAACUAAUACCGCAUACUAUCAGAUGAGGCUAGGUCGGGUGAGCUAGUUGGUGGGGUAAAGGCAUACCAAGGCGACGAUCCGUAACUGGUCUGAGAGGAUGAUCAGCCACCCUGGAACUGAGACACGGUCCAGACUCCUACGGGAGGCAGCAGUGGGGAAUAUUGGACAAUGGGCGAAAGCCUGAUGCAGCCAUGCCGCGUGUGUGAAGAAGGUCUUCGGAUUGUAAAGCACUUUAAGUUGGGAGGCGUUACCAGCAGAAUAAGCACCGGCUAACUUCGUGCCAGCAGCCGCGGUAAUAC